rnacentral:misc_RNA from 1 species
AAGUCGUAACAAGGUAACCGUAGGUGAACCUGCGGUUGGAUCAUUACCAAUCUUGUGACAUUCAUAUUGAACUGGGGUCGUGGCCUUUAAAAAAUCCACCUUUACCUUAUUCUUGGUAGUUUGUUGGUUCUGGGUGUUGGUUUGCGAGUUUUCGCGGCCGGACCCCCUUGCACCGCAUCCAGUUCCGCGUUGAUUUUCGGAUCAACCCAGGCUACCAAUUGAGAGCAAUCUCAUGUUGAACCAAACCUUUUAAUACCAAUCAGUCUAAACAUUUUAUGAGUCCUUCGAGUAAAACCGAGUGGAUAAAGUAUACAAUUAAAAAACAACUUUUGACAACGGAUCUCUUGGCUCUC